GGGGGCGUGGCCAGCGGCUGUUGUUACUGCGGCUUCAUCCAAAGAGAAAAGAGACACUGAGCGAAACAGGGCGACACUCUCCUCACAAUAGUUGUGUUUUUGGUCAGUAAGCGGAUAUUUUGUGACAGCACGCAGCCGAGCCGAUGUCGGCCAUUGUUCUAAACAGGACGGUAUGUGAGCUGAGAGAGGAUGAGCUGAGUCCUGAUGAUCCAGAGGUUGAAUCAGCAGCAGCUUGUGUGUAGAGAGACUCUGACUGGACCAUGUUACUGGGAGGUGGAGUCAAGAGGAGAGCUUCAUCCACAUGUUUCUCCAUGUCAGACCAGUGGUGUAGUCUAUGUGAUACGCAGCGUUCACUUUUGGACCAUGGGGGCUUCCGUCAAGCGUGAUGUGGACCCGACGUUAACUACUAAGGAAGCAGUGAAGUUGUGCGGCGGCAACGAGUCGACAACUUGAACUGGUCCAACGCUCGUUAGUGGAGAAGGAAUGUGGAGAAAAAACAAUGAGAAGAAAGAAAAGGAAGCCCAGUGACACUAUUUGAGAUGGUAGGGAAGGAGAGCUGAUGACGCUGUCGUCCUACCUGGUUGUGUAUCUGCACUGCAACAAAAUCCACUGGCGUCCUCACAGAGGAAAGGGCGUCUACAUCUGAGGAGUGGGUGUCCUUUAAAAUCCAGUCCUCAGACACAAACCACAAACAGCUCUAGAUGUUGAAACUGUGUGACUGCAUGGUGUACAUCUAGCAACCCCCCCUUAUACAACACUCAACAUGGUACAGUCUACCUCUCCCUCCUAUAAAUCUAGUUGGAAUCGUCCACUUCCUGUUUGCCAGUCUGGCCUCCUACCUGGGCAGGUGUGGAUGGAGCACAUGGAACAAACAUUUGGACUCAACCCAGAGAACAGGACCUUCACAAGCAAUAACACCCUAUAGAACAUCAGGAGGAGACGCGGCCAUGAUGGUUUCUAAGACUACGACUAAAGAACAGCAACGUCGCAGGAAGACUCUACAGAACAUCAGGAGGAGACACGGCCAUGAUGGUUUCUAAGACUUCACCUGAACAACAGCAACUUUACAAAAGGAGGAGACGUGGCCAUGAUGGUUUCCAGGACUUCACGUGAAGAGGAGGAUCUUCGUGCCACAGAUGAGUUUCCAGGUAAAACUGAAGAUGAGUCGUGGUCUGACUUGGUCUCCUUCUCAUCCUGAACCUUUCCUCAGAGCUGGUCUCAUCAUGAGCUUCACAGAGAAACCUUCUGACUUCAGUGACUCCUCACAGGAAACUGUAUUAAAAUGUGAUUUGUUGUUUUUUAUGGUAAAAUAAAAUCUUUUUAUCAAA